GAAUUCGAUUCAGGCCUAACACAUGCAAGUCGAACGAUGAAGCUGGAGCUUGCUCCGGUGGAUUAGUGGCGAACGGGUGAGUAACACGUGAGCAAUCUGCCCUUGACUCUGGGAUAACUGCGGGAAACUGUAGCUAAUACCGGAUACGACACCUUGGGGCAUCCCAGGGUGUGGAAAGAAUUUCGGUCAAGGAUGAGCUCGCGGCCUAUCAGCUCGUUGGUGAGGUAAUGGCUCACCAAGGCGACGACGGGUAGCCGGCCUGAGAGGGUGACCGGCCACACUGGGACUGAGACACGGCCCAGACUCCUACGGGAGGCAGCAGUGGGGAAUGUUGCACAAUGGGCGAAAGCCUGAUGCAGCAACGCCGCGUGAGGGAUGAAGACCGUCGGGUUGUAAACCUCUUUUAGCAGGGAAGAAGCGAAA
rnacentral:rRNA from 1 species